CAGCAGCCGCGGUAAUACGAAGGGUGCAAGCGUUAAUCGGAAUUACUGGGCGUAAAGCGUGCGUAGGCGGUUUGUUAAGUCUGCUGUGAAAUCCCCGGGCUCAACCUGGGAAUGGCAGUGGAUACUGGCAAGCUAGAGUGUGUCAGAGGAUGGUGGAAUUCCCGGUGUAGCGGUGAAAUGCGUAGAGAUCGGGAGGAACAUCAGUGGCGAAGGCGGCCAUCUGGGACAACACUGACGCUGAGGCACGAAAGCGUGGGGAGCAAACAGGAUUAGAGACCCCCGUAGUCCUGUCUCUUAUACA
rnacentral:rRNA from 1 species